UUGCUUCAGCAGCAAAUAUAUAAAAUUGGAAUGAUGCAGAGAAGAUGAGCAUGGCCCCUCAGCAAGGAUAACAUACAAAUUCAUGAAGCACUCCACAUUCUU